GACAGAGGGUGCAAACGUUGCUCGGAAUCACUGGGCGUAAAGGGCGCGUAGGCGGGGAUGUAAGUCGGGCGUGAAAUCCCCAGGCUCAACCUGGGAACUGCACUCGAAACUGCGUUUCUUGAGUAUCGGAGAGGAAAGCGGAAUUCCUGGUGUAGAGGUGAAAUUCGUAGAUAUCAGGAGGAACACCAGUGGCGAAGGCGGCUUCCUGGACCAAUACUGACGAUCAGGUGCGAAAGCGUGGGGAGCAAACAGG
rnacentral:rRNA from 1 species